AAAUAGGUAAAUAAUAAUAAGCUAUGAUACCCUAGUGGUUGGACGUCUGCCUCCUAAUCAGAGGUCGGGGGUUCCAGCCCUGUGAACUUUUUGGAGUUAUGUGCAUUUUAAGCAUAUAAAUAGCACUU